CGAUGAGUGCCAUCGUUACGAUAUUAUUAUAUUUAUUCCUAUAAGCCACCUAAUAAGUAUGCAACCAGUUAUGCGUUCGUGCUUAGAACGGGUUACCUAGAUUUGUGACCAAAUAUAAUAGAAGGUUGGUACUACGCUUGGGGAAUUCUGGUCUUAGCUUGUGGCUGUACGGCUUCCGACGGAGGGGCAUGUCAUAUCGCCCAUCGGAGAGGAUUGUCACUUCAAUUUUCAAUCUGGUUGGAUGAACAAGUAAAUUUUUCCGUGGUCACUGUUUAAAGAAUACAAUAUUUAGUUAAAAUAUUCAUUUAUUAUAAGAUUGGUUUAUUUUGGAAGGAGCUAUUUUUUGUUUUGGGAUUUGUGCGGUGAGAGGAAGAGUUUUAUUUCCAAGUUUCCUUUUGGAAAACAGUGGCCACGGAAGAAAAUAAGAAGAUGGAAAAUUAAGUCAAUCAUACUUUAAUUUGUUUUUUUGGAAUACAUAAUCAUUUUGGGGAUAUUUUGGAUGGAAUGUGGAUGUUUUGUUUGGUUUUUGUGGAAGAAAAGUUGAGUUUUCCUAUACUGGGCAGCUACCUGCUUGCCGUACCUUCCUGUUGGUGUGGAGUACCUCCCUAGGGUUGGGAACCAGAGGAUACCUUAUUUGGCUCUCCCCUCAUCAUCUUCACCGAAGGUUGGAAGAAGCAAUCCGCCUACUUUUUGUAGGGACAGGUUUUUAUAUAACUAAAUUUGCAUGUCAAUUUGUUUUAAUAAUAACUUCCAAUUUUACUAUU